UACAGAGGUCUCAAGCGUUGUUCGGAUUCAUUGGGCGUAAAGGGUGCGUAGGCGGCGCGGUAAGUCGGAUGUGAAAUCUCGGAGCUUAACUCCGAAACUGCAUUCGAUACUGCCGUGCUUGAGGACUGGAGAGGAGACUGGAAUUUACGGUGUAGCGGUGAAAUGCGUAGAUAUCGUAAGGAAGACCAGUGGCGAAGGCGGGUCUCGUGGACAGUUCCUGACGCUGAGGCACGAAGGCCCAGGGGAGCAAACGGG
rnacentral:rRNA from 1 species